GUGAGUGGGAGCAAAGGGGAAGUGGGGCACAAAGGGGAGGAGGGUGUUGUGAUGGACCAUCGAAUGAGCAAAAGUGGCAGUAGAAGUGGUGUGGCCAGAAGCACAGGGUGACUAAAGCAGUGUGUUACCUGGGGAGGUAAGUCUGCUCCUGUUACGUUGUUAAUUCCAAGAAGGUACCAAAAGAUCAAAGUUUGGACAGUAGCUUCAAAGGUGAGCUGAAAACUGGAAAUAGGCUUCAAGCUGAAAGCGUUCAAUAUGUUUUGUGGGGAAAAAACUCAUUUGGUUACUGUCCGCAGGUACCUCUAUGGGUAGAAGCUGCCAGGCAGAAGAUUCUUUAACAGAGCAAGAAGGUACUCAAACAUUGGUGUCCAACCUUCUGGCUUGCCUGGGCUGCAGUCUCUCAUUGGGAAGGGACUGGAUAUUUGCUUUCUGGUUCACUUUACUCCAUUUCUGGCUGCUCAGCAUGCCCCAGACAAUGAUGCAGAAGGUCAGUGAUGGUAAUGCAAGGAGUCAUUUGAGGAAUCUGAAGAGAGAACAGAAAGCUGAUGACAACUCUAAGAUACCUGACCUGCUCUAGGAUUACAAGAGCCCCCAUUCCUGUUACACGACAGAGGUCAGAAUUUACUGGCAUCAGCGGCAGCUGCUACAGAGAGCAAAGCACUGAGCUCUGGUUGCCUUUUGAGAAAAGGACUUCUCCUGCUGGCUUUUUUUUAUCUGAAGAGGGCAUCACUUCCUUCAGGAUGUCAGAAAGCAAUGAAAAAAGCAGCGCAUCACUGAGAUGCCAUCUCUCCUCCUAAG
rnacentral:lncRNA from 1 species